rnacentral:rRNA from 1 species
GAUGGACGCUGGCGGCGUGCCUAAUACAUGCAAGUCGAGCGGACAGACGAGGAGCUUGCUCCUCUGACGUUAGCGGCGGACGGGUGAGUAACACGUGGAUAACCUACCUAUAAGACUGGGAUAACUUCGGGAAACCGGAGCUAAUACCGGAUAAUAUAUUGAACCGCAUGGUUCAAUAGUGAAAGACGGUUUUGCUGUCACUUAUAGAUGGAUCCGCGCCGCAUUAGCUAGUUGGUAAGGUAACGGCUUACCAAGGCAACGAUGCGUAGCCGACCUGAGAGGGUGAUCGGCCACACUGGAACUGAGACACGGUCCAGACUCCUACGGGAGGCAGCAGUAGGGAAUCUUCCGCAAUGGGCGAAAGCUUGACGGAGCAACGCCGCGUGAGUGAUGAAGGUCUUCGGAUCGUAAAACUCUGUUAUUAGGGAAGAACAAAUGUGUAAGUAACUAUGCACGUCUUGACGGUACCUAAUCAGAAAGCCACGGCUAACUACGUG